rnacentral:rRNA from 1 species
GACGUAGGGGACGAGCGUUGUCCGGAUUCAUUGGGCGUAAAGCGCGCGUAGGCGGCCACGCAAGUCGGGUGUGAAAUCCCGGAGCUCAACUCCGGAACUGCACUCGAAACUGCGCGGCUUGAGGUAGGUAGGGGAGAUCGGAAUUCCUGGUGUAGCGGUGGAAUGCGCAGAUAUCAGGAGGAACACCGGUGGCGAAGGCGGCGACCUGGGUGGAUACUGACGCUGAGGCGCGAAAGCGUGGGGAGCAAACAGG